rnacentral:miRNA from 1 species
UUGCCCAAGCAGAAUUUUCGAA